ACGAACGCUGGCGGCGUGCUUAACACAUGCAAGUCGAACGGAAAGGCCCCUUUGGUGGUACUCGUGUGGCGAACGGGUGAGUAACACGUGAGUCACCUGCCCUUGACUUCGGGAUAACUUCAGGAAACUGGGGCUAGUACCGGAUAGGAAUCCUUGCUGCAUGGUGGGGGUUGGAAAGCUUCGGCGGUUUUGGAUGGACUCGCGGCUUAUCAGCUUGUUGGUGGGGUAGUGGCUUACCAAGGCUUUGACGGGUAGCCGGCCUGAGAGGGCGACCGGCCACAUUGGGACUGAGAUGCGGCCCAGACGCCUACGGGAGGCAGCAGUGGGGAAUAUUGCACAAUGGGCGGAAGCCUGAUGCAGCAACGCCGCGUGCGGGAUGACGGCCUUCGGGUUGUAAACCGCUUUCAGCAGGGGCGAAGCUUUUGUGACGGUACCUGCAGAAGAAGCACCGGCUAACUACGUG
rnacentral:rRNA from 1 species